rnacentral:rRNA from 1 species
UACGGAGGGUGCGAGCGUUGUUCGGAUUUAUUGGGCGUAAAGCGCGCGCAGGCGGACCAGCAAGUCAGAUGUGAAAUCUCAGGGCUUAACCCUGAAACUGCGUCUGAAACUGUUGGUCUAGAAUCUCAGAGGGGGUAGGGGAAUUUCACGUGUAGGGGUAAAAUCCGUAGAGAUGUGAAGGAACACCGGAGGCGAAGGCGCCUACCUGGAUGAGUAUUGACGCUGAGGCGCGAAAGCGUGGGGAGCAAAC